AAAAGCACCCGGAUAAGGCUUUUUCAAUGCUGCUCUCAACAUCACGAUGAGCCUUUCCAAAAACUAGAUUUCGGGAAGCAAUAAUACUUUCUAGGUUGCUGUGACGUUUCCCGCCGUCUGACCAUGUUCCAGAGCAUUCUCUCCUGACAUUUCACCCACAUCUAUGGCAGGCCUUCUCCGAGGUUGUGAGGUCUGUUGGAAACUAGGUGUCUACGGACAACGCUGGCUCUUCGGCUUAGAAAUGGAGAUGAGCACCAACCCCCAGAGUCGGAUACAACUGGACGUUACAUCAGGGGAAACCUUUACCUUUACCUAAACUGCCAGAAGAGGCCUCCUCAGACAAGGAAGCGAUGAGCCAAAAUAAGAGGGUCCAGUUGGAACCAGAAGUGUCUGGUAAUUCUGCCAAGGAACUAUUGAAGUUAGAACCUGGACCAUUCUACGUUGUAAUUCCUGAAGACCAAGAGCCAGAUACUGAGACACUUCAUCUCUCUGAUCUCCAGAUUCAAAUGCUAACUGAAAAAUUGUGCCUGGUCUUUAAAAGAACACGUUGAUGUAAUUUUACUCAUAGCUAUUAUAUCUUAACAUAACCAUUUCUUGGUUGCAAACAAGUGCUGCAAAGUCUCUGUGGCAUCAUUUCACAUUCCUUAAUCCGUUGCUUCCUGUAAUUUUACUUGCCCCUUUCUCUUCAAUCUUCCACUGACUGGCAUUGGACUUAUACUCUUAUACCAUUUCUUGUGGUUUCAUUAUUGCCUUAACUAUGCUUCAGUGUAUGCUUAGACUGGUUUGGCUUCCCAUAUGGCUGAGUAUAGGGUGCACUCAUCCGAUCACUAGCUUAAACAGGACACUAUCCAGUGUAUUCCCAACUCAUUUUUUUAAUGUGAAUUGUAUUUCUGAAGCCUCCAGGAAUAGCAAACAAGUUGUACAGACCUCAUAUGUUUUGUUUCUAUGUAGAAGAUUGUAUUGUCUCUGCCAAAGUGAUGACAACUAUUUUUUUUAUUCCAAGUAAGCAAAGUGAGAGGGUAAAUAACACAAACUCUCCUUGUUUGCAAGAUAGAUGGUGCUUCCUAUAGGCUGCUGUCAGUAAAACUCACCCUAAAGAAGCAGCAAGUUGUCACCUGGGGGUAAGAGCUAUUGUCUGACAUAUCAGGAGGGUUUGAGGAAAGCUCACCUAUAUAUCUCCUACCCUUCUUUAUGAUAGUUACAAAACACAGAUGUGAGCCUGGACGGGAUUUUAAUAUCAGGACUCUUCUUCUUGAAUCCCUAGAUUUAAAAUCUGCCUUUUAUGCUGCAAUAAAGUUAUUUAUAGAAUCCUUUCAGUGUUCUUCAAUAUCUUUGCUGUUCCCAUCAACCCCCUCUCCUAACCUCUUAAGCAUUUCACUUGUAAGUCAUCACAAGGGACGCGUCAGAGCUGAUCAAGGCAAAGCUCUAAACAAUCCCUACUGGAAGAUAAACUUGCCACUUGCCUGGCUGCAGGCAAAACUUUCCUGAAGUUAUGGUGACUUAUUUCUGGCAAGCUUAGGUAGUCUCUGUAAAUCACAAACAAAUGUCACAGUACCCAGCUGUGGGGGUAAUCUCACGUUUCACUAUUUGCCACGGCUUUGUACAGGGCAAGCUUUCUAUCUCUAUAGGCUUUGUGGCUUCCAUUUGCUAGAAGUGUUUUGGACACAGCCUGUGAAAAAGUAACUUUGGAGGACGGCAGUUCUCAGAAUUUUCCAACCAGCCAGGAUGGAUUAAGAACUCAGAGACCGGAACCCCAAAAAGUCCUAACAGAACUCGGGCAGGCUGAGAGAUUUCCACCGCAAUCCUCUACUCCAGUGGUUCUCAACCUAGGGUCCCCAGUUGUUUUGGGCCUUCAACUCCCAGAAAUCCUAACAGCUGGUAAACUGGCUGGGAUUUGUGGGAGUUGUAGGCCAAAGACAUCUGGAGACCCCAGGUUGAGAACCACGGCUCUACUCAUACAUAAGCCCCAUCAGGUUUAUUUAUUUAUUAUUUAUUUCCAUCAUUUCUAUCCCGCCCUUCUCACCUGAAGGGACUCAGGGCGGCUUACAAAACUGGCAGAAUUCGAUGCCAAUACACAAUACAAAAGAAUAAAACAGAACAUUUCUAACAAGUAUAUACAGAAUUGCCUCCUGUUAUGUAUGGUUUAACUAUGCCAACAUCAGGAGCCCUUC